CUCUGCCCGGGUGAGGGUUGGGGGCACUGCCCCGGUGAGGGGUGGGAACGGCUCUGCCCGGGAAAUAACCAAAGAGCUCAAAGCUGUGCUGGUGCCCCUCACUGCUGGUGCCCCCUCGCUGGUUCACAGCAGCAUCCGCCUGCCCAGGGGCACCUGAGGGCGCCGAGACAUCAGAUGCAUCUUCACACCAAUGGAUCAGGCAUCUACAAACAGCUCCAUUUCACUACCAGAACAUCCUCCAGCUGGACAGCAAACCCUAACCUUAGGAAAACAGUGAUCAUGCCAAAAUUUCUGUCAAGCUCACUGUGAUUAAUAGACCUCAGACUGUAAGGAGGGAGUAUUGAUAUCAUAAAUAACGCACUUCAUAAAGAAGGUUAAUUUUCAGACUAUCCAGAAGCAAUCUACAGACCCCUAAAAGUCAUAGGCAGGCUGAAAAUGAAGAUAAUUCUCCCAAUACUGCCAGCAAAAUAACUUAUGGAGCAGUGUUUUCCCUAGUGAGCUCACAUUGCCAGUGUGAUGGGAGUCGGUCCUUGUGGAGAUAACCACCCACUGAGAACAUCGUGUGCCACAGUAGCCAGCAUUGUACAGACACGUAAGAAACUGUUUCCAGGAGAAUUACCCUGGUUUAUAUUUAGCCUGGAUUGACCUAUUUCAGUGUGCAGUCACAUGCACACCCUUCUACCUGGCCUCAUCCUCCCUGUGAGCUGCUGAGUGUUCCUGUGGUCACGGAAUGUGGUGCAUGGAAGAACCUCUGAUGAAAGAGAGCAGGCAAAGAUUUUACAUCUGAUUCAACAGGAAACCAAAAGAAAAUCAAGUAGGAAAAGCAUAUGACACUAAAAUACACAAAUUAAGGCACUGUAUUCCUGCCAACAAAGCUGAGAGAACACACUUGGUAACCCCCCUAGGAUAGCAGGGAUAUGGGUAACUUCAGAAUUCACAAAGAAAUUCAGCUGGAAUUCACCUGGAAAUCACAUUAGUCACAGCACCCACCUCACAUUGCCUAAGGGAUUGACUUUCUAGCCUUCCUAGUACCAGCACCUGAAAAUAGGUCUUUGCUUUGUAGUUGUACUGUGAUGAAUGAGCUUCUCAGGCAUAUUUAAGUCAAAACUACCCUCCCCCUUGGUUUGGUUGGUGUUUUUUUUAGGGUUUUAUGACUGUUCAUUGACAUCCAGGGCUGCCCUUCCCAAGAGCCACAGGCAGAAAAUGUAGCAUCUCUAACUAUACAGCUCCCAUAGAUAAAAAGUUAACAAUUAUUUGAAAAUGUAUGGAAGAAAAAUGUAAGCCAGAGAUCCAAUUCAAAACUAUUUUACAAUUCAGUUAAUUCUGUCUCAAAGCAAACAUUAAAAUAGUAAGAUUCUGGAAAGAUGGGUGUUUUAUUUCUCUGAAAAAAGGUUUUUAGAUCAUCUGAAGACGAUAGCCCUAAGGUAUAGACAAUUUGUUCUCAGUUCAUUUUAGAAGACAAAACCUCAAAAGAACAAUUCUGAGUUUCAGAAAGAUUUACAGUACUCUACAUGUAUGUACUUUAUACAUUUCACCAUCAUGACAACUGAUAGAAAGUUAUUGUCAAGCAAACGUUAUUUCAGGAUACAAAGACACUGCUAUGCCAUUAUUAAUAAAAUGUAUUUAAUUUGGUUUUAA